UAGCUCUUCUGCCUUUGUGUGCUUUCUCUCUCUCCUGCUUCCAAGUCAAGAUGUGCUGGCUUCUCCUUUGCCCUUCUGUCAUUAUUGUGAUCAUUCCACUCUUCUGCUAAUGUCAUGUUCUGGUUCAGGGAGUCCUCCAGGGAUGGCCAUACCUUUCUCUCCAAGAGCUUUGGCGAACUCUACUCCAAUCUGAACAGGUUACUCAAUGUGAAGAUGACAACAAGGGUGAAGACUUUAAUGAUGAUCCACUUCCACUUAAAAAAUAAUA
rnacentral:lncRNA from 1 species